rnacentral:rRNA from 1 species
GACGAACGCUGGCGGCGUGCUUAACACAUGCAAGUCGAGCGGUGCGGCGAACUGGUGAGUACCGCGUGAGUAACUGCCCCCCUCCCUGGGAUAACAGUUGGAAACGGCUGCUAAUACCGGAUAGUUGGGGAUGACUCGCGGCCUAUCAGCUUGUUGGUGGGGUAGUGGCCUACCACGGCGACGACGGGUAGCCGGCCUGAGAGGGCGACCGGCCACAUUGGGCUGAGAUACGGCCCAAACGCGUACGGGGGGCAGCGGUGGGGAAUAUUGCACAAUGGGGGAAACCCUGAUGCAGCAACGCCGCGUGCGGAAUGACGGCCUUCGGGUUGUAAACCGCUUUCAGCCAAGACGCGGUAGUGGCAGAAGAAGCACCGGCUAACUACGUGCCAGCAGCCGCGGUAAUUC